GGUGAGUAACACGUGGAUAACCUACCUAUAAGACUGGGAUAACUUCGGGAAACCGGAGCUAAUACCGGAUAACAUGUUGAACCGCAUGGUUCAACAGUGAAAGACGGUCUUGCUGUCACUUAUAGAUGGAUCCGCGCCGCAUUAGCUAGUUGGUAAGGUAACGGCUUACCAAGGCAACGAUGCGUAGCCGACCUGAGAGGGUGAUCGGCCACACUGGAACUGAGACACGGUCCAG
rnacentral:rRNA from 1 species